AGUUUUCUUCGGGGCAGGGUGCAAUUCCCUACCGGCGGUUACAGUCCGCGACUCCUUUUUCAUUAAAGGACUGAUUUGGUGAAAUUCCAAAACCGACAGUUAAAGUCUGGAUGGGAGAAGAAAAUG
rfam:Chryseobacterium piperi strain CTM contig20, whole genome shotgun sequence.